GACGAACCGAGCGAACGUUAUUCGGAAUCACUGGGCUUAAAGGGCGCGUAGGCGGGCCCGCAAGUCAGGGGUGAAAGCCCCCAGCUCAACUGGGGAAGUGCCCCUGAUACUUCGGGCCUCGAGGGAGGUAGGGGCGUGCGGAACUUCCGGUGGAGCGGUGAAAUGCGUAGAGUAUCGGAAGGAACACCGGUGGCGAAAGCGGCGCGCUGGACCUCUUCUGACGCUGAGGCGCGAAAGCCAGGGGAGCAAACGGG
rnacentral:rRNA from 1 species